GGUGAACGCUGGCGGCGCGCCUUACGCAUGCAAGUCGUGCGGGGUGUGGGCUUCGGCCUACGCCCAGCGGCAGACGGCUGAGUAACACGUGGGUAACCUGCCCGGAAGUGGGGGAUAACCCGGGGAAACCCGGGCUAAUACCGCAUGCGGUCCAGGGGGGCAGUUCCCCUGGACCAAAGCCCGCAAGGGCGCUUCCGGAGGGGCCCGCGGCCUAUCAGGUAGUUGGUGGGGUAACGGCCCACCAAGCCGACGACGGGUAGCCGGUGUGAGAGCACGA
rnacentral:rRNA from 1 species